UAUGCUUUAGUGUAAGAUGCACGGAAAUUUUUGAUGUUUUAAGAGCAGUUUAAUUCUGCAAUGCAUAA
rnacentral:tRNA from 1 species